rnacentral:rRNA from 1 species
AGCAGUCGCCGCGGUAAUACGUAGGGUGCGAGCGUUAAUCGGAAUUACUGGGCGUAAAGGGCUCGCAGGCGGUUUCUUAAGUCUGAUGUGAAAGCCCCCGGCUCAACCGGGGAGGGUCAUUGGAAACUGGGAGACUUGAGUGCAGAAGAGGAGAGUGGAAUUCCACGUGUAGCGGUGAAAUGCGUAGAGAUGUGGAGGAACACCAGUGGCGAAGGCGACUCUCUGGUCUGUAACUGACGCUGAGGAGCGAAAGCGUGGGGAGCGAACAGGAUUAGAUACCCCAGUAGUCCCUGUCUCUUAUAU